UCAGCCCCCCGUAGAUGUUGCUGAAGUUCUGGAAGUGGGCAGAGGCCGUGCGGGGUGAGCGGGCUUCCUCGCUGGGCGGACACAGGCAGGAAGAGACUGAGCCAGAGGGUCCGUGGGCUCCCGCGCACCCUGUCAGCCCCGCGGGUGCCCGCCACCCCCGGGACCCCUCCAAGGCUCCCCAAUGCCAUCCCGCUCGCCCCUGUAAACAGGAAGCUGAAUUUUGCCAACAUCGGAUGCACUUGAACUCCAGAAGGACUGCGCUCAGGACUCUGGGAUUUCAGGAGGGUUCUCGGGGGCCAGAUACCCUCUUCCGCGGGAAAAACUGAGUAGAAAAGAAAAGAAAAACUGAGUAGAAAGUCCAGCGACUUCCCGUAUAGCAUGCACUGGUGUGGCACAUGUGUCUACACUCACAGCAGGACUGACAUGUCAUGCAACUGACGUCCACAUUGACGUGAGGGCCGCUCUUGGUGCCGUGUGUUCCACAGGUGUGGACAAAAGUAUAAUGACAGGUGCCCAUCGUAGCAUCAGGCAGAGCAGUGUCACUGCCCUGAAGGUCCUCUGUGCUCUGCCUAGUCACCCCCCUCCCCAAACCUACCAGCCGCCGAGCCUUCCACUGUCCCCAGAGUUUGGCCCUUUCCAGACGCCAUCUGAGGGGCAUCGGACUCUGGGCAGCCUUUUCCGAUCGGCUGCUUCCACGUCGGACAGGCCUCCUCCAUGUCUGUCCCGGCGCGAUAGCUCGCUUCUUGUUGGUGCUGAAGAAGAUUCCUUUCCCAGGAUGUCCCCCCUUCAUUUAUCCUCCACCCCCGGAGGCCGUCCUGGUUGCUUCCGAGCUGUGGUGACGAUGAAUCAGCUGUUAUGCACACCCACGUG